ACGAUUAGGUAGUUGGUUGAGGUAAUGGCUUCACCAAGACUGACGAUCUGUAGCUGGUCUGAGAGGAUGAUUCAGUCCACACUGGGACUGAGACAGGCCCAGACUCCUACCGGGAGGCAGCAGUGGGGGAAUAUUGGACAAUGGGCGAAAGCCUGAUCCAGCAAUACCGAGUGAGUGAUGAAGGCCUUAGGGUUGUAAAGCUCUUUUAGCAGGGAAGAUAAUGACGUUACCUGCAGAAAAAGCCCCGGCUAACUCCGUGC
rnacentral:rRNA from 1 species